rnacentral:rRNA from 1 species
AACGAACGCUGGCGGCAUGCCUAACACAUGCAAGUCGAACGAGACCUUCGGGUCUAGUGGCGCACGGGUGCGUAACGCGUGGGAACCUGCCCUUAGGUUCGGAAUAACACCCCGAAAGGGGUGCUAAUACCGGAUAAUGUCUUCGGACCAAAGAUUUAUCGCCUUUGGAUGGGCCCGCGUUGGAUUAGCUUGUUGGUAGGGUAAAAGCCUACCAAGGCGACGAUCCAUAGCUGGUCUGAGAGGAUGAUCAGCCACACUGGGACUGAGACACGGCCCAGACUCCUACGGGAGGCAGCAGUGGGGAAUAUUGGACAAUGGGCGAAAGCCUGAUCCAGCAAUGCCGCGUGAGUGAUGAAGGCCUUAGGGUUGUAAAGCUCUUUUACCCGGGAUGAUAAUGACAGUACCGGGAGAAUAAGCUCCGGCUAACUCCGUG